rnacentral:snRNA from 1 species
GUGCUCGCUUGGGCAGCAUAUAUACUAGAAUUGGAACGAUACAGAGAAGAUUAGCAUGGCCCCUGUGCAAGGAUGACACGCAAUUUUUUUUUAAGAUUUAUUUUUUU